ensembl:processed_transcript Gm10658 predicted gene 10658
CUCUCUCCCCGCCCCUUCCCCUUCAUUGAUCGCCCCUUGCCUCCACCGAAAUAAAAAUAAAUAAUUAAACUAUCCACGAGUAAGAGUCGCCUCCAAAGCAGAGGCUCUUACAUCUCUCACACCGCCACUUGGAGUUUUUCGAGGACUUCGGACUUAGGCCUUUGGGAUUUGGAGUUCCGCAGGGUGGAAGCUAAAGAAGGUGCAUCUUAACUACAGGGCCCCGGUUUCCUUCACACAUGCACAACCCAUUUGGAGCUGGGUCUGGAGAAACCUGUAACAGUCUGUGACCCUACCACUUGGACGCAUCAUAUCUCAGAAGCUAAACAGAGUCCGGCCUGGUUAGCAUUUGGUUGGAUUAGAGAUUGGUCACCGUGAGGAAGCCAAAUCGGAUCCGAGAGUCUUUUUCUAAAGGCCAGUACUGGCCACAUUUUCUCCUGCCGCCUUCCUCAAAGCUGAAGACAUACAGAGCAAGUUAGUGCUAUACUUCAGAAGCAGUGCAGAUACUUGGCAGAAAAAUGACCUCUCUUCAUUCUAAACAGGUGUUAAAACAGCUAACAUUCUUACAUGUAUACAUUUAGCAGACAUGCAUUGUACAUUCACUGUAUCAUCUGUCUCCUUCCUGAUACUUGGUUGUAUUUCCUACAUAUAGUAGCAAAACCACACUGAGGCCUAGACCUUGGCCACUGCUCAGUUUCUUUCCCAAGAAGGGCCCUUGGCUGACACAGGAGUGGGGAAGACAAUUCUUCCAACUACAGGUGGCUGUUGACAACACCCUGAGGACGGAACUGAGCGAGCAUCACUUUUCUUCCCUAUCUGAAAAAGGUUAUAAUUAAUGAUGAAACUAAUAAACUAUGAAAUUCCUUACAUUUGGCAGAAUUGCCAAAUUUC